rnacentral:ncRNA from 1 species
ACAGUACAAACUGAACAGGCCACAGCUUUCCCCGUGGGAAGGCAGGGAGCCGGGCCGCCUGGGGCGGCAGCAGAUGAGACCGGUACAUCUGUGGGACAGU